rnacentral:rRNA from 1 species
AAGGUUAAGAGGAGGAGUGCAAGCUCUGAAUUGAAGCCCCGGUAAACGGCGGCCGUAAAUAUAACGGUCCUGAGGUAGCGAAAUUCCUUGUCGGGUAAGUUCCGACCUGCACGAAUGGCGUAACGACUUCUCAACUGUCUCAACCAUAGACUCGGCGAAAUUGCACUACGAGUAAAGAUGCUCGUUACGCGCGGCAGGACGAAAAGACCCCGGGACCUUCACUACAACUUGGUAUUGGUGUUCGGUACGGUUUGUGUAGGAUAGGUGGGAGACUGUGAAACUCCAACGCUAGUUGGGGCGGAGUCGUUGUUGAAAUACCACUCUGAUCGUAUUGGAUACCUAACUUCGAACCCUAUAUCGGGUUCAGGGACAGUGCCUGGCGGGUAGUUUAACUGGGGCGGUUGCCUCCUAAAAUGUAACGGAGGCGCCCAAAGGUUCCCUCAACCUGGACGGCAAUCAGGUGUUGAGUGUAAAUGCACAAGGGAGCUUGACUGCGAGACCUACAAGUCAAGCAGGGACGAAAGUCGGGAUUAGUGAUCCGGCACCUCUGAGUGGAAGGGGUGUCGCUCAACGGAUAAAAGGUACCCCGGGGAUAACAGGCUGAUCUUCCCCAAGAGUCCAUAUCGACGGGAUGGUUUGGCACCUCGAUGUCGGCUCGUCGCAUCCUGGGGCUGGAGCAGGUCCCAAGGGUUGGGCUGUUCGCCCAUUAAAGCGGUACGCGAGCUGGGUUUAGAACGUCGUGAGACAGUUCGGUCUCUAUCCGCCGCGCGCGUCAGAAACUUGAGGAAACCUGUCCCUAGUACGAGAGGACCGGGACGGACGAACCUCUGGUCUACCAGUUGUCCCACCAGGGGCACUGCUGGAUAGCUACGUUCGGAAAGGAUAACCGCUGAAAGCAUCUAAGCGGGAAACCUUCUCCAAGAUCAGGUUUCUCACCCUUUUAGAGGGAUAAGGCCCCCCGCAGACUACGGGAUUGAUAGGUCAGACCUAGAAGCUCAGUAAUGAGUGCAGGGAACUGGCACUAACCGGCCGAAAACUUACCAAC